rnacentral:misc_RNA from 1 species
AAGUCGUAACAAGGUUUCCGUAGGUGAACCUGCGGAAGGAUCAUUAAUGAAAUGCAAGGGUGCUCUUCUUAGACGCCCGACCCAUUCUCAUCUCACACUGUGCACAUACUGUCUUUACACCAUUUUUAAUACACUAAGUCUAAGAAUGUUAAACAGUCUCCUUAAUCGGAGCAUGAAAGUAAUACAACUUUCGGCAACGGAUCUCUUGGUUCCC